UAUCAAUUUAUGUUUGGUCAUGCAGAAAGAGAUUUGUCCUGGCUCUGAAGAAUCCACUGAUAAAAUCAUAGGUGAUUACUGGAUCACCUGUUGGAACUGCCACCAACAAAUUCAUCUAUUGCCAGUGCUGCACCCUAACCCUAUUUACCACAUUUACUCUGACAGAAGCUUGCUCUUCAUCCCACCCUACCUGCCCAGUUGCAGAUCUAGAGGUCUGGGCUGUGAUUUGGAACCCCCCGUCUGUGCUGAUCCUUUCUCUGGAUAAUGCUUCCUGGGGUCUGGUCCCAGGACCAGCUGACAUCUUUUGGGUUGCACAGCUCUGACUUGAAACCCAGAGUUGCUCUGUUGGAAAAUAAAUCUAUUAGGAGAUUUUUUACUGAGAGCUCUUGGGAAGGAAAUUUUAGAGUAAGAUUUGUGGGAUCAGUUUUUGAAAUUGAUAAAUCAGCCUUAUUUUUUCCCUAGUUGUGUUAUUUCAGGUUCUUGGAUUCUAAUUCAACACACAAGAAAUCAAAGUUGUGCACACCCACUUAUAUCUCAGAUCAGUUUAAUCUGCAAAAUGCCUACAGACAUAUAUUUCUGUGCAGCGAAUCAAAUGUGAAUCUAAAUGAUGCAUUUUUCAUUAUGAAGUUCAUAAGGAGAACUAAGAGAAAAACUCUCUUGUGGGACUGUCUGGUAUGUAGAUAUGAAGUUGUAGUGGUCUGUUAAACAUUUGAGAUCAAAAAUGUUUAAAUGUAAUUGUUCUGUUGCAUUUGUCUGUCCAAAUUUUGAAUAAUCUUUUAAUGCAUUUCAGAUGCAAUGUCAGAAAAUACGGAGAAGGAUAAUAACAUGAAAACCAGAGAUUUUUACAAGAUAACAGUAAAAGAAAGAAAAGCUGUGGGCUGAUUCACUCAGUUCAUGAAGUUCCAUGGGAAAACGAGUCUGUGGGCUGAAUUUGGUUCUCACUAUCCACUUGAGAAGCACCACUGAAGUUUUGUCUCUACUGCAGGCCCAUCUGCCCAUGGUUCUGCAUGACUGGAAAUUUGUACUCAGGUGAAGUCAUGCUGGUAUCAAGGCUUUUCCCAGUGGAUACGACUCGGGCUGAUACUUCCCAUUUCGGAAAGUUGCAGGAUCACUUCUGCAUGCAGGAAAGGCCCCAUCUUAUUGCCUCUCCUAGGUUGGUAAAACAGCAGGCACGAGUUAGUGGAUCUGGCUGUGAGGAGGGCAGGUGGCGAGCAAUGGGAAGUCUCUGCUUGCUCUUUCACAGUGAUUUGCUUCAGUUGCCAAGCUCUGUUAAAUAAGCAGCCUAUGCACCAAGCAGGAAUUUCACUUGUACAAGGAGGCUUUUCUUUGAACCUUUCCAGGUGGGAAUGUUUUCUAGCACAAGGGUCUUAUUUAAUGCUCACACUGCCCAAAGGCCACAGUCAGCACCUCUGUGCAAACUUCAGAAGACAUAAUCCUUGCUUUAAACACCUCAUGGUCUGAGCACGCAGCAGUGCCUGAUGUGGAGUGGAAUGAGCCUAGCGGAUACCACCAAGGUGACAGGUGCCUGUCUUGCUAGGUCCAGUCAUUUCCUUUAUUAAUUCAGUGAAUUUAUGUAUUCACUUUGGGUCUCUGUUGUGUGGCAGGGAAAGGACAGGAGGCUGGAAUCACAAAGAAUGACAUGGAACAGGAGAGUACUGCCAGUGGAAGACAGAAAAUAAGGACCAAGCCUCAUGGAGCAAAAAACAUUCUGCC